rnacentral:rRNA from 1 species
UGCCUUACNCAUGCAAGUCGAACGGCAGCACGGGGAGCAUACCCUGGUGGCGAGUGGCGGACGGAGUAGAUUAAUACCUCGGAACGUGUCCUGGAAUGGGGGCAUAGCCCGAGCUAAAGCCGGAUUAAUACCGCCUACGCUCUACGGAGGAAAGGGGGGGAUCUUAGGACCUCCCGCUACAGGGGCGGCCGAUGGCGGAUUAGCUGGUUGGUGGGGUAAAGGCCUACCAAGGCGACAAUCUGUAGCUGGUCUGACAGGACGACCAUGCCACACUGGGACUGACACACGGCCCAGACUCCUACGGGAGGCAGCAAUGGGGAAUUUUGGACAAUGGGGGCAACCCUGAUCCACCAAUGCCGCGUGUGUGAAGAAGGCCUUCGGGUUGCAAAGCACUUUUGUCCGGAAAGAAAACGCCGUGGUUGAAUACCCGUGGCGGAUGACGGUACCGGAAGAAUAACCACCGGCUAACUACGUGCCACCAGCCGCGGUAAUACGCAGGGUGCAAGCGUUAAUCCGAAUUACUGGGCGUGAAGCGUGCGCUGGCGGUCCGCUAAGACAGAUGUGAAAUCCCCGGGCUUAACCUGGGAACUGCAUUUGUGACUGGCGGGCUAGAGUAUGGCAAAGGGGGGUAGAAUUCCACGUGUAGCAGUGAAAUGCUGAGAAAUGUGCAGGAAUACCGAUGGCAAACGCUGCCCCCUGGGCCAAUACUGACGCUCAUGCACUAGAGCGUGGGGAGCAAACAGGAUUAUAUACCCUGGUAGUCCACGCCCUAACCGAUGUCAACUAGUUGUCUGGCCUCCAUUGACUUGAUCACGCACCUAACGCGUGAAGUUGACCGCCUGCGGAGUACAGUCGCAAGAUUAAAACACAAAAGAAUUGACCGGGACCCGCACGAACGGUGGAUGAUGUGGAUUUAUUCGAUGCAAAGCCAAACAACUUACCUACCCGUGACAUGUAUGGAA